GACGAACGCUGGCGGCAGGCUUAAUACAUGCAAGUCGAACGGCAGCAGGACUGUAGCCCUACUGUUGCUGGCGACCGGCAAACGGGUACGGAACACGUACGCAACUUACCCUGAACUGGGGACUUGCCCGAGGAAGCCCGGAUUACUAACCCGUGAUAUAAUGGAGUGGCAUCACUUUUUUAUUAACGCUCCGGUGGUAAGGGAUCGACGUUCGGCUGAUUGGGUAGUUGGUUGAGGAAACGGAUCACCAAGCCGACGAUCAGUAACUGGUGUGAGAGCACGACCAGUGACACGGGCACUGGAACACUGGCCCGAGACCUACGGGAGGCAGCAGUAAGGAAUAGUGGGCAAGGGAGGCAACUCUGACCCAGCCAAGCCGCGUGGAGGAAGAAGGCCCUCGGGGUGGUAAACUUCUUUUAGAGGGGACGAAACCUGAGUAAUCUUACGCAAUUGACGGUACCCUAGGAAUAAGCACCGGCUAACUCCGUG
rnacentral:rRNA from 1 species